AGCAGCCGCGGUAAUUCCAGCUCCAAUAGCGUAUAUUAAAGUUGUUGCAGUUAAAAAGCUCGUAGUUGAAUUUCGGGGUCAGUAGGUUGGUCAUGCCACUGGUAUGUACUGGUCUCACUGAUUCCUCCUUCCUGAUGAGCCGUAAUGCCAUUAAUUUGGUGUUGCGAGGAAUCUGGACUGUUACUUUGAAAAAAUUAGAGUGUUUAAAGCAAGCUAACGCUUGAAUACAUUAGCAUGGAAUAAUGAAAUAGGACGUUCGAUCCUAUUUUGUUGGUUUCUAGGAUUGACGUAAUGAUUAAUAGGGAUAGUUGGGGGCAUUAGUAUUCAAUUGUCAGAGGUGAAAUUCUUGGAUUUAUUGAAGACUAACUACUGCGAAAGCAUUUGCCAAGGAUGUUUUCAUUAAUCAAGAACGAAAGUUAGGGGAUCGAAGACGAUCAGAUACCGUCGUAG
rnacentral:rRNA from 1 species